rnacentral:rRNA from 1 species
GACGAACGCUGGCGGCGUGCCUAAUACAUGCAAGUAGAACGCCGUUGCGAACGGGUGAGUAACGCGUAGGUAACUGCCUCAUAGCGGGGGAUCACUAUUGGAAACGAUAGCUAAUACCGCAUACUGUGAGCUGGACCUGCGUUGUAUUAGUUAGUUGGUGCGGUAAAGGCUCACCAUGGCGACGAUACAUAGCCGACCUGAGUGGGUGGUCGGCCAGCAUGGGGCGGGGACACGGCCCAGAAUCCUACGGGAGGCAGAAGUAGGGAAUCUUCGGGAGUGGGCGGAAGGCUGAACGAGCAACGCCGCGUGAGUGAAGAAGGGUUUCGGAGCGUAAAGCUCUGUUGUUAGAGAAGGGGUAACGAACCAGAAAGGGACGGCUAACUACGUGCCAGCAGCCGCGGUAAUAC